rnacentral:rRNA from 1 species
UGUUACCUACGGGAGGCAGCAGGGGGGGAUAUUGCACAAUGGGGGAAACCCUGAUGCAGCAACGCCGCGUGAGUGAUGACGGCCUUCGGGUUGUAAAGCUCUGUCUUCAGGGACGAUAAUGACGGUACCUGAGGAGGAAGCCACGGCUAACUACGUGCCAGCAGCCGCGGUAAUACGUAGGUGGCGAGCGUUGUCCGGAUUUACUGGGCGUAAAGGGAGCGUAGGCGGGCUUUUAAGUGAGAUGUGAAAUACUCGGGAUCAACUUGAGUG